rnacentral:rRNA from 1 species
CCUACGGGAGGCAGCAGUGAGGAAUAUUGGUCAAUGGGCGCUAGCCUGAACCAGCCAAGUAGCGUGAAGGAUGACUGCCCUAUGGGUUGUAAACUUCUUUUAUAUGGGAAUAAAGUGCAGUAUGUAUACUGCUUUGCAUGUACCUCAUGAUUAAGGAUCGGCUAACUCCGUGCCAGCAGCCGCGGUAAUACGGAGGAUCCGAGCGUUAUCCGGAGUUAUUGGGGAUAAAGGGCGCGUAGGCGGGUUGUUAAGUCAGUUGUGAAAUAUUGCGGCUCAACCGUAAAAUUGCAGUUGAUACUGGCAUCCUUGAGUACAGGAGAGGUAGGCGGAAUUCGUGGUGUAGGGGUGAAAUGCUUAGAGAUCAAGAAGAACACCGAUUGCGAAGGCAGCCUGCUGGACUGUAACUGACGCUGAUGCGCGAAAGUGUGGGUAUCAAACAGGAUUAGAUACCCCAGUAGUC